CUCCUGUCCUCACUCAGCUUGGCAACAACUUGCAAUUGUUAUUAUCCGAAAAUGGUGCUGUGACCCACAAAAGUGAAGUUGGGCAUGAGGAAGAGGCUGGCAGAGCUGUCUACACAGUAAUGGCCUGUACAACUUACUGACUGUCUUUUUCAAGACAUUUCAGUCCCAUCUACAGGAUGCCAGUCCAUCAGCUAUGGAAAGCUUUCAGAUAAAGAGAAAGGAGAACCACUGCAGACCUCCUGGUUGAAGAGGGCCUGGAAUGCAUUGUGUGGG